UGGUACGUACUGGUAUCAUUGGUUUCUCCUUUCUGACGAACCAUGAUGUCAUUAAUUUGGUGUUAUGGGAAGUUAGGACUGUUACUUUGAAAAAAUUAGAGUGUUUAAAGCAGGCCUUGGCUUGAAUACAUUAGCAUGGAAUAAUGAAAUAGGACGUUCGAACCUAUUUUGUUGGUUUCUAGGAUCAACGUAAUGAUUAAUAGGGAUAGUUGGGGGCAUUAGUAUUCAAUUGUCAGAGGUGAAAUUCUUGGAUUUAUUGAAGACUAACUGCUGCGAAAGCAUUUGCCAAGGAUGUUUUCAUUAAUCAAGAACGAAAGUUAGGGGAUCGAAGACGAUCAGAUACCGUCGUAGUCUUAACCAUAAACUAUGCCGACUAGGGAUCGGAUGAUGUUAAUUUUUUAAUGACUCAUUCGGCGCCUUACG
rnacentral:rRNA from 1 species